CUUGGUCAUUUAGAGGAAGUAAAAGUCGUAACAAGGUUUCCGUAGGGGAACCUGCGGAAGGGUCAUUACAGUAGGCACCCGGGGCGCCGCAAGGCCUCCCGGGUAACCUACCACCCUUUGUUUAUUACACUUUGUUGCUUUGGCAGGCCUGCCCUCGGGCUGCUGGCUCCGGCCGGCGAGCGCUUGCCAGAGGACCUAAACUCUGUUUGUCUAUACUGUCUGAGUACUAUAUAAUAGUUAAAACUUUCAACAACGGAUCUCUUGGUUCUGGCAUCGAUGAAGAACGCAGCGAAAUGCGUUAAGUAAUGUGAAUUGCAGAAUUCAGUGAAUCAUCGAAUCUUUGAACGCACAUUGCGCCCCCUGGUAUUCCGGGGGGCAUGCCUGUCCGAGCGUCAUUACAACCCUCAAGCUCAGCUUGGUGUUGGGCCCCGCCGCCCCGGCGGGCCCUAAAGUCAGUGGCGGUGCCGUCCGGCUCCGAGCGUAGUAAUUCUUCUCGCUCUGGAGGUCCGGUCGUGUGCUUGCCAUCAACCCCCAAUUUUUUUCAGGUUGACCUCGGAUCAGGUAGGGAUACCCGCUGAACUUAAGCAUAUCAAUAAGCGGAGG
rnacentral:rRNA from 1 species